rnacentral:rRNA from 1 species
GUUGGCUUAGAAGCAGCCAUCAUUUAAAGAAAGCGUAAUAGCUCACUGGUCGAGUCGGCCUGCGCGGAAGAUGUAACGGGGCUAAACCAUGCACCGAAGCUGCGGCAGCGACACUGUGUGUUGUUGGGUAGGGGAGCGUUCUGUAAGCCUGUGAAGGUGUGUCGUGAGGCAUGCUGGAGGUAUCAGAAGUGCGAAUGCUGACAUAAGUAACGAUAAAGCGGGUGAAAAGCCCGCUCGCCGGAAGACCAAGGGUUCCUGUCCAACGUUAAUCGGGGCAGGGUG